AAAUGAUUGAGGUGAUUCUGUGGGGUAACCUUGAGGAUGAGUGGGAUGACCUUUGGGGGGUCCUCUGUGGGGUGACCUUGGGGGGUGUGUGGGAUUAUGAGAGUGUCUGAGAAUUGAGUUUUAGGUUAAGUAGGGGUGAUUUGGGACAACUCUAAGGGUGUGACUGGGGGAUGACUUUAGGGGUCCCUGGGGGUGACCUUGUGAGUGAGAUUGGAGUUUCUUUGGGGUUUCUAGGAGGUGACUUUGGGGAGGUGAGUAGGGGUGAUUUUGAGGAUGUGCCAGACUUUGGGGUUGUCUGUUGGGCUGCUUGUGGGUAUCAGCAGAGAUGACUUUGGAGGGUGACCAAGAGGGGUAUCUGGGGUUGACUCUGGGGCCCCUGUCCCCCUCUCCCCAGUUCUCAUCCAUAUGAGCAAGGGCUUCAUGUUACUGGCCGUGGCCCUGUGCUGAGUCCUCCUCCCGCCCAUGGCCCUCUCCUCCUGGCCAGUGGUCCUCCGCCUGAACAUGGCCGACUUUGUCUUCAGUUUCCUCUGCCUCGGCAUUGUUAACGGCAAGGCGGUGCACCCAAGUCCGGUGGUGUCCUACCUGGUGACCUCCUACCUGUGCUGGGACGCCAGCGACUUGAUGCUGCACUCCGCCAUCUCCCAGGAGCCGUGUCCUACCUAAGCCCAGUGGGCAUGUGAAGCAGAGGGCAGCCCUUGAAUGCGCGGCGGCUGAGCUACCGCGGGUGGGCCGUGCAGCAGGGCGCAGCGAGGCGGACAUCCAAACAGCGGAACUCAGACGCUGACUCCGAGCGCACCCCGGGCCUUCCCAUUUCAUACACCCUCGAGGAUGAGACCCAAGCACCUCCAAGGAAUAGCACCCGAGGUCUUCAGGACACCGACCGGUAGCCAUGGCCAGAUGCCCGGCCAACCCCUUCAGCGUGGCCACGCCCUGGAUAUUCGACCUCCCCUGAGGCCCCACCCCCUGAUAUCAGGCCACGCCCUCCGAGGGGACCGGUGGCAAACUCCAGCCCUCGCUCUAGGGCCCGCCCUUUGCGGCUUUGUCCCUGCCCACUGGGUCCUCACAGUACCUCCACCCCAGAGGCCCAGCAUCCCCUCCCGUUCUGCAGACACUUGUCCAGCGUCCCGCUGAGCUCGGCAGUGUGGCUAGUUUGUGUGGCCCUGCCCCUGGUGCCCAGCCAGGGUGGUCUGCAUGGAACUUCUUUCCCGGAGUUCCGGCCUCAGCUCCGAUGUCCACCCUUGUCCCCAGGUGGACACAGCACCGCCCAGCAUUUGGUGCAACUCCACCCUUCUGCAGAACGGGCCCCUCCCUGGGAAGGCAUGGCUUGCAAUAACAUCCCUCUGUACCUUUUCUGGCUUCCCCGCCACAAUAAAACCUCUCAGCCUCAGACCUUCCAUUGCCCCCCACCUCCCCACCAGGGCAGGGUCCAUCCUAGUGUGAGUGAACUGUUCUGGCGUCCCUGACUUGCCCUUUGGGA
rnacentral:lncRNA from 1 species